GCCCUGAUUGUUUCCUGUCUGGAAUUCCCUUGUUUUCAGAGUGGUGUUCUUUGUGAUAUUUUAUGUGCUUCUACUGUCUGUGGCCCUGAGAAAACAGAGGAUUUGCCAGACCUCGAUGAUGGGAAUACUUUGUUGGGAGGUGUUAGCUGGCCCUGAUUGUUUCCUGUGUGGAAUUCCUGUUUUCAGAGUGUUGUUCUUUAGCCCUGAUUGUUUCCUUUGUGGAAUUUCCAAUUUCCCUGCUUUCAGAGUGUUGCUCUUUAUUUACUGUCCUGGUUUUAGAGAUUAUAUUGUUCUGCAUUAUUCUAUCCCAGUAAUUAUUUCAUAUUAAAGUAGAAUCUCACUUAUCCAACAUUCGCUUAUACAAUGUUCUGGAUUAUCCAACGCAGUCUGCCUUUUCGUAAUCAAUGUUUUUAUAGUCAGUGUGUUAAAUUCAUUGUGAUAUUUUAGUGGUAAAUUUGUAAAUACAGUACAGUAGAGUCUCACUUAUCCAACAUAAACGGGCUGGCAGAAUGUUGGAUAAGCGAAUAUGUUGGAUAAUAAGGAGGCAUUAAGGAAAAGCCUUUUAAACAUCAAAUUAGGUUAUGAUUUUACAAAUGAAGCACCAAAACAUCAUGUUAGACAACAAAUUUGGCAGAAAAAGAAGUUCAAUAUGCAGUAAUGCUAUGUAGUAAUUACUGUAUUUAUGAAUUUAGCACCAAAAUAUUACGAUAUAUUGAAAACAUUGACUACAAAAAUGCGUUGGAUAAUCCAGAACGUUGGAUAAACGAGUGUUGGAUAAGUGAAACUCUACUGUAAUUACUACAUAGCAUUACUGCACAUGGAACUACUUUUUCUGUCGAAUUUGUUGUAUAAUAUGAUGAUUACCUAAUAUGACAUUUAAUAAGCUUUUCCUGAAUCCCUUCUUAUUAUCCAACAUAUUCACUUAUCCUGCCGGCCUGUGUAUGUUGGAUAAGUGAGACUCUACUGUAUAUUGAUAAUCUUAUAUUAUCUUCUUAGAACUGGAUUAUAUGAGGCCUCUUCUUCACAGCUGUAUAAAAUGCACACUGAAGUGGAUUAUAUGGUAGUGUGGAGUCAAGAUAAUCUAGUGCAAAGCAGAUAAAAUAAGAUUAUAAAUGGGUUAUAUAGCUGUGUGGAAGGGCCUUGAAUCUACACUGCCAUAUAAUCCAGUACAAAUUAAAUAAUCUAUGGAAGAGGCCUGAGGCCUAAAUCUGCCUGUCGCCUGGGCUGAGUUGGUUGCUAGGAGACCAAGUGGGCAGAGAUUAGUCCUCUAACUGGCAGCAAUUGGAUAAAAACAAUUAUUCCUUUCCCUCUAAUUAGGACUUUAUUUUUCUUUUCUUUUUGUUGUAUCAACCUAGAGGCGUGGAUGAUGGGUUGAGUGGCCUGUAGUUUUGUUGUUUUGUUGGUCGUCAUGAUGCCAUCACCCAUUUAUAUGUAUAGAUAUGCUGGACAUAUGCUUUCACAACUAAGAAACAGAAUGCUUGUCAUAAUAUUAAUCACUCACCUACUUCACAGUACAUCUCCGAGGAAAUAAUACCACACUGAACAUCAGACCUUUCUUAUUCCUCAAAAGUCCAGUAUUUCAAAUGGGGAAAUGCCAUGAAGAUUUUGAUUAUCACUGUUAUGUCUGUUCAUUACGAAACAUCCAAUACGAUGUUUUUCAUAAGGCAAGCACAUCUUAGAGUUGCUUGUUUUACAACCAAAUGCCCAGUUAUGUCCAAAUUCAGGUUGCUUUCUAUUUUUAGCAGUUUAUUUUAAUAAAGUAGUAUCAAAUAAUUCACUCAAUUUCGAUUGUAUCAGGUAGGUAUUACAGCUGUUCUAUACAGUUUGAGCAAUUGAUACCAAGUUUACUGUCAUGAUUCAACCUACACAAUACUGUUUAUUUUUUGGUGAAAGAGUUCCAAUGCCUAUCUAAAGAGAAUUCAAAUGUACCUAAAAAAACCUACAAAUUCCAGGAUUUUAUCCCCAAAAUGUAUAUUAAGAACCUGUGUUCUUGAAUGAGCUAUGACUACAUAUUUUGCAAGUUAAGAAGGUCCUUUAAUAAAUCAAUAAAAAUGGUAUAGGUUGUAAAGCCUUU
ensembl:lncRNA